AAGUUUUCUGUCACUGGACGCCAAGGAGUUUUCGGUGGCUCAGCUGGAUGGUUGGAUUUCUCUGUCUUCCUGUGACCUGACUUUCUGUGUGUCUGUUUCCCUGAUAAGUGCCGGAGUACCAGGGGGAGCCGGAUGAGAUUUCCAUACAGAAAUGUCAGGAGGCAGUUCGCCAGGUACAGGGGCCCGUGCUGGUUGAGGACACCUGUCUGUGCUUCAAUGCCCUUGGAGGGCUCCCCGGCCCCUACAUAAAGUGGUUUCUGGAGAAGUUAAAGCCUGAAGGUCUCCACCAGCUCCUGGCCGGGUUCGAGGACAAGUCAGCCUAUGCGCUCUGCACGUUUGCACUCAGCACCGGGGACCCAAGCCAGCCCGUGCGCCUGUUCAGGGGCCGGACCUCGGGCCAGAUCGUGGCACCCAGAGGCUGCCAGGACUUUGGCUGGGACCCCUGCUUUCAGCCUGAUGGAUAUGAGCAGACGUACGCAGAGAUGCCUAAGGCGGAGAAGAACGCUGUCUCCCAUCGCUUCCGGGCCCUGCUGGAGCUGCAGGAGUACUUUGGCAGUUUGGCAGCUUGACUUCUGCAGCUGGAGGAGGCCCCUCAGGCCGGGGAUCUGGGGAGGGCUAGCCCAAAACCUCCCGCAUCGGGCAGGCACCCCUUGAAGUACUUCCUUCAGGGUUUCCCCUUUGUGAGGGUGUCGAGUAGCCUCACCGGCCUGUCUGGAGGAGCAGCUGGCUCUGCUCUGAGAAACUCUGGCAAGUGGACGCCAUUCUCUUGCCCUUAGGAUUCACUGCUCUCUCCUACAGCCCCCAGGCCUGGGGUCCUGAAAGGACCUUGUCUGGUAAAGCUGCACUUGGUGGGAGUGAGGGCGUGGGGAGGAACCAUGCAAAUCGCCUUCCAUGGUUUUAAAUGCAAUAAAUAACAUUUCUGGAUGAGACUUGUUUCCAAAAUAAACCAGCUGUAUCUGUUUUGAACCCUGCCCCA
rnacentral:sRNA from 1 species